UACACACCAGAAAUGUUUAUUACCUUCGCCUAAGGUUAUUAUCUGUGUGUCCACGUCAAGAGAUGGAUCGACAAGAAACUACAUAGUUCAAGAGCACGGACCUGCACAUCAGUACUGUUCGUGCUAUCCAACAUUGUAUUUGGGUACGGAGGAUUUCUGCUGACGAAGUUCUUGCUAGAAAUAACUGUAGGAAUGGCCAUGUACGUUUACAGGGAGAAACUCCUGGAAGAGUUUGGCACGCGAUUGAACUUGAGUAUCGAGACCUACACGAUGAACAAGAAGGCCAGACUCUUAACUUCGUGCAGUCCACGGUGAUUUGGGUAGUGCUGCAAUGCUGCGGCAAUCAGAGAGAUACGAUGAUUGGAUCACCUCUCCCAGCCAUUGUAUACCACUGUCUUGCUACAUUCAUCAUGGAUGUAACACGACCGACCACAAUGCCAUCUACACGCAGGUAUGACAUCCACUAAUUGCGGAUACUGAUUCAAAGAUGGAGUGACUGUGCGAGCGAAUGUGUCCUUACACAAUAUUAUCUUGUGCAUCUCAGGGGUGGAAAAAAGCAUUCGCUAUUGCUGUAGUGGUGGCAGAACAUAAUUAUGAGAAAUACAUCAUUUAAAAAUGUUUCAAAAUCUAACUAUCUGGGAACAACAAUAACAUACAAAUGAGGUCCAUGAUGAAAUCAAGGGCUGAAUAUAUUCGGGAAAAACUUGUUUUUAUCAAAUUUAAAAACUGUUAUAAUUUCGUUUGCCAUCUAGAACACUAAAGAUCAGGAUGUAUAAAACAAUAAGUUUUCCUGUUGUCUCGUAUGGUUGUGAAACAUGUUAUCUUAUAUUGAAGGAAGGUCAGAAAGAUAAUUGGACCUAGGAAGUAUGAGAUGAGUGGGGAAUUUAAAAUAUUGCAUAACGAGGAGAUACGUGAAUUGUACAGGUCUUCUUUAGGAAAUUCCCUCUUCUGUGGGAAUUUUCUAUCUCAAUGUCUCGCCCAAACAGAACGCGACGGACCUAAAACGAAUCUAAAAGAACGUUCUGUUACGUCGGAGGUUCAAAUCGGAACUUUAGUUUGCUGAGUUGCAGACACCAUAAACACAUUCUUGUAGCAAAUACAAUGACAUAAUCAAUUAUUAAGUGAACUCCCAAAUAUUGACCACGAAACAAUGUGCACAGUUGACCAAAAACGUAUCUAGACUUGCAAAGACUAACAAUAAUUCGAGAAAGAAGCAUUUAUAACAACUUGACAUAGGGGAAAGGUCGAGCAAAUAUUAGCUUAGGACCAUAAUAAAAUAAAUUGGGCCAUCUAAAAUACAACAAUCUUAACCAGCAAAGAAAAGUAUUUAAAACAUAAAACUAGGGUUAGAACUCAAAAAAAUCGUAAAUUCCGAUGUCAGUUCCUUUUCACAUAAGUAGCAACGAAUAAUUUAACUGCUAAUUAAUCCGACAUUACACCUUGCCUAUAACAGUUUGUAUUUACGUUUAAAAGAAGAGCAGACCUAUAUAUAAAUUAUACUUAGUUUCCAACAAAAUAAUUUUUUAGUCACUGUUAACAAUUUGGUUAUUUACGUAGUAUUCACAGUGAUGACAAUUUCAGCGAUACUUUCAAACUAAUCACUGCUGAGAAAAAAAAUAGUAAUACAUAAAAUCUCACUGCAGAAUAAUCUCACAAAUUCGCAGAUCAACCAGGUGUGAUUUGUGAGUAUGGUACCUACUUUCUAACACUAAAUUUUCAAUGUAUAUUAAAUUUAGACGCAUUAAAUGAGUAUAUAACAGAUUUCAUAUUGUACGUAAUUACUGUGUCUACAUAAAUUAUCUUAAAGCAUCAUAUUAUGUAUAUAAAAGCACGGCUUAUCUAUAAUGUGUGAAACUUGUACGUUGUUUAAAAAGAAGCGGCAAGUAAACUUGGUUUCCAGAACUGAAUACACAGACACCCGAUAACUUCUACAGUCGCUUCAACGUCUCUAUCGUGUUCCGCUAAUUCCUUAACUCGUCUGCCAUGCACGAAGAAACCUGUUUGUGUUUAAGCAGUUAAGAAAAAUAUGGAAUGACAAGUUCAUUUUAUAGAGCCACCAGAAAGGAAAAUUAAUAUCAACCUUCACUUCCUAUGAUACAUGCAUUACAUUUUUUGGUUAGGGCUACAGAUUUUUGGAGUAACCUCGCAGGUGUAACGAAAUCUAAAGCAAAAAACGUACAAAAAAUUGUUCAGUAAGCAUGAAAGCAGCAGUAACCAAGCUGAGAAAUUUAAACCUAACCCAUAAGGUGGCUUUCUUUUAUUCCUUCAACGGCAUUAUUAUUUACUAUCCAAAUUUACUUAACAUGGCUACAGUUUUCGUUAGAAACAAGCUAUAUUUUAUAAGCGCUCAAAGGAGAGCUGCUCUUAGUUAUUUUACAGAAUUAAAUGCAUCCUUCAAUACACUGAUCAUAUUUCUUGCAAAAUAAUCUAAAAAAAACAUUUCGGCAUCAGAACCCAUAUGUGGGUUAACUAGUGAUUUUAAACGAUUACAACACUUCAAGAGUUAUUUGAUGAAAUGUUGACUUUGAAAGCCACGCUAUCUUCUUAAGCUAAAAAAUAAAUAGUUUACAGAUUUCCUCGUUCUGAUAACACAAUUCUGCCGUCACUUUUUAACACAUACUUCUCAAAAAAGGUCUUAAACGCCUUGCAGUCACACAACCAAGAGUACCUUAACGUAACGCUGGUUGCAUUUGACGACGUUCAUUUAAUUUCCUUGCUUGGAAUUGUUCCCGGCGAAACAGAAAUUGUUUUAAGGGUCCUAUUUUGAAAAUGUUCAUUAUCCUCGGUUGAACAUGGCACCGCAACAAAUCCUUUGACUGUUAAAUUAAAGUGUCUGCACAUACUAAGGCAAAUCGGCGUUGCCACUUCCUUGUAAACAUGCAGCAACAAUUUUAACAAACAGGCGUUCUGAUUUCCUCCUGUUUUACAUAUUUUAUGUAUGACGGGUGUGCGAUCUGCUACUUAUAAGGGAGCUUUACGAAUCAGAAAGAUAAGACUUUCGUCGAAACGUAUGACAUAAUAAGUGAAAAGUUUUAAAUUUGAUGUGCCUGUUAUAUCGUGCUGCAACUGUUACCACAUUGAGGCAGUGAAUGUGGCCGUUGCCAGAUUAAAAUACAGAAUCUGCGUAUAAAGCUACUGCUAUUACGUUCUUAUCGAAUACUUUUGAGAAAAAUAAAUAUUAUGUAAUGUGAAAUAUGUCAUAAUUUAUCCUUAUAUGUACAUGUUAAUAUUAAACAUAUCUGUCUGUGAUAAUAUAUUCUUCAUUGCGAAUACAUUGUCUAGUGUCACAAUUAAACCAUAAACCACGUGUGUGUGUGUGUGUGUGUUUUUACUAUCGCUGUAUUUUGGUAGAAAAUGUGGAGGAUCUUGUAAUGAAUGUAUAUGAAGCGUAACGAAAUUGGAAAUAAAAAUGCAAGGCACUAAAGAACUGUCAGCGUUAACAUUUACAUGUUCGAGAUACUGAGGUCAAAAUAAUUAACAUUGACUUGCACGAAGAUUUUUUUUUUAAAUAUUCGAAGCGAAAAUAUUCCAGCACGUGUCUGG